rnacentral:rRNA from 1 species
UACAGAGGUCUCAAGCGUUGUUCGGAUUCAUUAGGCGUAAAGGGUGCGUAGGCGGCGCGGUAAGUCGGAUGUGAAAUCUCGGAGCUUAACUCCGAAACUGCAUUCGAUACUGCCGUGCUUGAGGACUGGAGAGGAGACUGGAAUUUACGGUGUAGCGGUGAAAUGCGUAGAUAUCUGGAGGAACACCGGUGGCGAAGGCGGCAUCCUGGACCGACACUGACACUGAGGAGCGAAAGCCAGGGGAGCAAACGGG